UAGAAAAUAGUAUAAGGAAGUACAAAUGAUUUUGAGUUUUUAGGUGCAGGUUCAAGUCCUGGUUUUCUAG
ensembl:Mt_tRNA